rnacentral:lncRNA from 1 species
CGGAAAUUCUGAUACUCAUAAUUAUAUGAUACAUAAAUAAUUUUAUCGGUCAUUAAGUUUAUCAUUUGCAUAUGAAAAAACAAAAGGUUUAUUUUGCGGAACAAUGGUUUAUUAUUUGUGUGUACCAACUACCAAUUAAUAUUCAUGAGUCAUAAUUAAGUUAGAAUGGUCUCAGUUUAAUUUAUGAAAGAAGUCGCAUAAUCAAGAUUUUAUAGGCCAACAAAGGUUAAGUCCGUAUGUAGCACCAGUUUUUCAGGCAAAUAUCUCCUCUUGACUUACAAACUAGAAAUAACUUGUAUUUUGUUGCGGAAAACAAUAUAAUGCUAACGGGUGAGCAAACCAUAGCAAAAAAGGAACCGAAAAGAAACGCUUUAGGAGUGGCAAUGUACUAUAUACUCCAGCAUCCUAUUUUGUUCAUGCUCGACUCUGCUUGCCUAUCAUCUUCUAUUCUUUUGCAAUGUGCAAACCCUUCAGUCUUGCACCUGCAAACCUGCCACCACCAUGAUUCAUGAGGUUUUAUUAGAACUUAGAAGAGGACAAUCCUUAAUCAGUAGACAUUUCAAAAAUGCAGAUCUGAAACACACUAAGUAGACAUGAAAAGCAAUCAAAUGUCUGAAAUUCGCCAGAUAAUAUAGUUACAUUCUCGAAAUUGAAAAAGUAUGAAUGUAAGAAGAAAAUAAAGUGGGUACAUCUGUACAUAGUUGUUCAUGUAUUCAUCGAGCAGCUUGUCUAUCCUGUAAUAGCAGGCAUCCCACAAGAAGUUAAGCUCAACGGUUAAGUUCCUUCUGUUGGACAAUUGUCUGCAAAGGUUAUCAGAUAGAUUAAUUAUCAUGCACAGAAAUUAGAGCAAAAGAGUGAAUUCGAGACAAAAAUCCUCAAUUCUGGUGUUCCGGAAUCAUCAAUCUCCAACACUCCAUUCCAAAAAGCUUUUUCCUGCUAACCAGAGCCUAAAGCUUUAGCAAUUUUUAACGCAGUUCGUGAUCAAAUGAAAGGUUCUCCCAGCAGAAUAAAGGGCACAUUUAGUAUUAUCCACAAAUAAAUCGUCAUAUAUAGAGUUAUAAAGAGCAAAUCCAUCAACCUUCAUAUGACUGUAUGAGUUGGUUAAAUACCCUACUAAGAAUAAGCUUAUGGAAAAGUUUCCAAAAUGGCAGCUUACUUGAAUACAAAUGAAGAAAGGUAAGGAUCAUGGGGGUUUCACUAUACACAUACAACAAUAGGAGUUACAAUGUUAAGAUUGAAACCAAAACUGACAUAAAUAUUAGUAAGCAGAACAGCUAGCAAGGGAGAUAAAAACACUCACAAUAAGUUAAUUCUGCAACUCUGCCUCCUUUGUGAAUGUUCAUAAUUGUUUAACAGCAAGUACAACCAUAUUAUCAACCUAUCUCCAUAAAUAAAAACGUUAGCAUGAUAUCUAAUUGGAACCGGAUACAAUUAUCAACAGAGAUCAGAAAUUAAAACCAUGAGUAAAACCAGAGGUGAGUAUUGGGAUGAUCGAUUCCACGUCGCAGUUUUCGAAUCAACUCCAGGCUUGCUCCGCAAUAGAAACUGAGUUUGCUUAUGGAUCCAACCGUUACAUGGUUACAAAUGGAAGUUCCAGAAAGUAAUCGAAAUGGGUAAAAUUCAAACCCUAACAACAAAUGACAAACUUGCAACGAUGCAAUGGCCACAACCUCUGCGUGAGCAGACAAAACUGGAAUGAAAAGAGACAAGGGAUACUCCACCAAUAGUUGAAAGGAAAUAUCAAUAGCUACUCUACCUCGUAGCUGCUACUCCAUCGUCACUAGAGGGAUCUGGCGAUCUCCCCUAUUAGAGAUGAGACUCUAAUAGUUAAAAGGAGACACCUAUAGCUCCACUUGCUUUCUCUAUCAUCUAUGGUCUGAUGGUAUUAUGGAGAUCUGGAGUGGUGAGAUGAAGUUGAAGAAAAAGAGGAGGAGAGAGGGCUUGCGUGUUAGACAGAGCGAUAUGACCGAUUAGCAAUAGCUUAGAGGCUGAGUUACCAGAAAGUGGGGUUGGCCAUCACCAUCACAAUUGGAGAAAUAAGAAUCCCAAUUGAACGGCUACGGAGCCCAC